GAUGAACGCUGGCGGCGUGCCUAAUACAUGCAAGUCGAGCGAACGGACGAGAAGCUUGCUUCUCUGAUGUUAGCGGCGGACGGGUGAGUAACACGUGGAUAACCUACCUAUAAGACUGGGAUAACUUCGGGAAACCGUAGCUAAUACCGGAUAAUAUUUUGAACCGCAUGGUUCAAAAGUGAAAGACGGUCUUGCUGUCACUUAUAGAUGGAUCCGCGCUGCAUUAGCUAGUUGGUAAGGUAACGGCUUACCAAGGCAACGAUGCAUAGCCGACCUGAGAGGGUGAUCGGCCACACUGGAACUGAGCCACGGUCCAGACUCCUACGGGAGGCAGAAGUAGGGAAUCUUCCGCAAUGGGCGAAAGCCUGACGGAGCAACGCCGCGUGAGUGAUGAAGGGCUUCGGAUCGUAAAACUCUGUUAUUAGGGAAGAACAUAUGUGUAAGUAACUGUGCACAUCUUGACGGUACCUAAUCAGAAAGCCACGGCUAACUACGUG
rnacentral:rRNA from 1 species